rnacentral:lncRNA from 1 species
CUUCCUUUAUCAUGUGCUUUCACAGUGCUGCACACCUUGGGUACUUCUGAGGAAAGAACCUUCCUUCAUGAGAUAAGCUGAGGUGUUGCCCUUCCCUUCCCCUCUCCUAGAGAGGCGGGUGGGGAGAUAAAGGCCCAGCCUCAUUAAAGAUACUGCCAUACUCUGGGUUUUGCAACAUCUUGCGUUUCCAGGCUUCCGAAGCACAAAGUAUUAAAAGCUGGGGGGAAGUAAACCAAAUGUUGACUGUUCCCAAAUCCCCUGCAGCAGCAGCACCCAGAGCGUGCGCAGAGCAGCACCGGCGGGUGGACCCUAGCUCACCUCCUUCAUUCCUCCAAGGCUGGAGGCAGGGCCUUCCCAGUCCUCAACCUGCCCGUCCCAGGCCUGCCUGCAGGGUGAAGGAGGCCCUGGGUCCCACAGUGUGAUGCGGACUGCUAGCUA